AGCCGUUGCGGCGGCUAUAAAUAGGACAUUAAGCCGCAAGCGUUGCCCGGUAUACCGCCGGGCAGGUUGUC
rnacentral:ribozyme from 1 species